rnacentral:rRNA from 1 species
UACGUAGGGUGCAAGCGUUGUCCGGAAUCAUUGGGCGUAAAGAGCGUGUAGGCGGUCCGGUAAGUCGGCUGUGAAAGUCCAGGGCUCAACCCUGGGAUGCCGGUCGAUACUGCCGGACUAGAGUUCGGAAGAGGCGAGUGGAAUUCCCGGUGUAGCGGUGAAAUGCGCAGAUAUCGGGAGGAACACCUAUGGCGAAGGCAGCUCGCUGGGACGUUACUGACGCUGAGGCGCGAAAGCGUGGGGAGCAAACAGG